rnacentral:tRNA from 1 species
GUUCCUGUAGUUGAGGUAUAUACUAACGAUGGUUUUUCAGACCAUAGGCCUUGGUGGAAAGCCAAGCAGGAAUA